rnacentral:rRNA from 1 species
UACGUAGGGGGCAAGCGUUAUCCGGAUUCACUGGGUGUAAAGGGAGCGUAGACGGCCGUGCAAGCCAGGAGUGAAAGCCCGGGGCCCAACCCCGGGACUGCUCUUGGAACUGUGCGGCUGGAGUGCGGGAGGGGCAGGCGGAAUUCCGUGUGUAGCGGUGAAAUGCGUAGAUAUACGGAGGAACACCAGUGGCGAAGGCGGCCUGCUGGACAUUAACUGACGCUGAGGCGCGAAAGCGUGGGGAGCAAACAGG